AACGAACGCUGGCGGCGCGCCUAAUACAUGCAAGUCGAGCGAGAAGACGUAGCAAUACGUUUGUAAAGCGGCGAACGGGUGAGGAACACAUCGGAAUCUGCCUGGUUGUGGGGGAUAACGUAGGGAAACUUACGCUAAUACCGCAUGAGACCCUGAGUCGACGGACUGGGGGUGAAAGUGAGGGACCUUCGGCCUCACGCGACCAGAUGAGCCGAUGUCGGAUUAGCUAGUUGGCGGGGUAACGGCCCGCCAAGGCGACGAUCCGUAGCUGGUCUGAGAGGAUGAUCAGCCACACUGGGACUGAGACACGGCCCAGACUCCUACGGGAGGCAGCAGGUGGGGAAUCUUGGACAAUGGGUGCAAGCCUGAUCCAGCCAUGCCGCGUGCAGGAAGAAAG
rnacentral:rRNA from 1 species